rnacentral:pre_miRNA from 1 species
UCGCUGCGAGGGAGGAGGCCGGGGGCUUGGCGAGGAGGAGAGGGACGGUUCCCUCGCCAAGCCCCCAGCUUCCUCCUUCGCUGAGA